rnacentral:misc_RNA from 1 species
GCAAGAGGACCCUGCACCACAAAAAUAAGGCUAACUUUUUAUAAAUGCCACUAAUAAGAGAUACUUGAAUAAUUAAAAAAAGCCCUAAUUUUCUAUCUCCGUGCAGUUUGAACACCAUUUUAUUCUGAUAAUCAUAGCAGUUUCGAUUGAAAAUUUUAAUGGCCAACUACAGUGAACAUUGUAUCUCACAAUCAUUCUCUCAGAAAAGUUUGUGUACUAAAAGAAGAUGUGAAAGAAGAAAAGAAACAGAGAAAAGCAGGCAUGGAAGGAAAUGACAGAAUCAAUAGAGUCAAAAUCAAAUCUUGAACUUGCGCAUACACGUAGAAAAUGUCCAAGAAAAAACCUGAAAGAACUCGGUGAAUAAAAGUAUCACCUGAAAAGCAAGAAGAGAUCUUU